GACGAACGCUGGCGGCGUGCCUAAUACAUGCAAGUAGAACGCUGAAGGAGGAGCUUGCUUCUCUGGAUGAGUUGCGAACGGGUGAGUAACGCGUAGGUAACCUGCCUGGUAGCGGGGGAUAACUAUUGGAAACGAUAGCUAAUACCGCAUAAUAGUAGAUGUUGCAUGACAUUUGCUUAAAAGGUGCAAUUGCAUCACUACCAGAUGGACCUGCGUUGUAUUAGCUAGUUGGUGGGGUAACGGCUCACCAAGGCGACGAUACAUAGCCGACCUGAGAGGGUGAUCGGCCACACUGGGACUGGGACACGGCCCAGACUCCUACGGGAGGCAGCAGUAGGGAAUCUCCGGCAAUGGACGGAAGUCUGACCGAGCAACGCCGCGGGAGUGAAGAAGGUUUUCGGAUCGUAAAGCUCUGUUGUAAGAGAAGAACGAGUGUGAGAGUGGAAAGUUCACACUGUGACGGUAUCUUACCAGAAAGGGACGGCUAACUACGUG
rnacentral:rRNA from 1 species